UACAGAGGUCUCAAGCGUUGUUCGGAUUCAUUGGGCGUAAAGGGUGCGUAGGCGGCGCGGUAAGUCGGGUGUGAAAUCUCGGAGCUUAACUCCGAACUGCAUUCGAUACUGCCGUGCUUGAGGACUGGAGAGGAGACUGGAAUACUUGGUGAUAGCAGUGAAAUGCGUAGAUAUCAAGUGGAACACCAGUGGCGAAGGCGAGUCCCUGGACAACUCCUAACACUGGAGGCACGAAAGCUAGGGGAGCAAACAGG
rnacentral:rRNA from 1 species